CAACUUUCAGCAACGGAUCUCUUGGCUCUCGCAUCGAUGAAGAACGCAGCGAAAUGCGAUAAGUAAUGUGAAUUGCAGAAUUCAGUGAAUCAUCGAAUCUUUGAACGCACCUUGCGCUCUCUGGUAUUCCGGAGAGCAUGCCUGUUUGAGUGUCAUG
rnacentral:rRNA from 2 species